GAUGAACGCUGGCGGCGUGCCUAAUACAUGCAAGUCGAGCGAACAGACGAGUAGCUUUCUCCUCUGACGUUAGCGGCGGAAGUGUUAGUAACACGUGGAUAACCUACCUAUAAGACUGGGAUAACUUCGGGAAACCGUAGCGAAUACCGGAUAAUAUAUUGAACCGCAUGGUUCAAUAGUGAAAGACGGUUUUGCUGUUACUUAUAGAUGGAUCCGCGCCGCAUUAGCUAGUUGGUAAGGUAACGGCUUACCAAGGCAACGAUGCGUAGCCGAACUGAGAGGGUGAUCGGCCACACUGGAACUGAGACACGGUCCAGACUCCUACGGGAGGCAGCAGUAGGGAAUCUUCCGCAAUGGGCGCAAGCCUGACGGAGCAACGCCGCGUGAGUGAUGAAGGUCUUCGGAUCGUAAAACUCUGUUAUUAGGGAAGAAAAAAUGUGUAAGUAACUAUGCACGUCUUGACGGUACCUAAUCAGAAAGCAACGGCUAACUACGUG
rnacentral:rRNA from 1 species